rnacentral:rRNA from 1 species
GAUGAACGCUGGCGGCGUGCCUAAUACAUGCAAGUCGAGCGAACAGACGAGGAGCUUGCUCCUCUGACGUUAGCGGCGGACGGGUGAGUAACACGUGGAUAACCUACCUAUAAGACUGGGAUAACUUCGGGAAACCGGAGCUAAUGCCGGAUAAUAUAUUGAACCGCAUGGUUCAAUAGUGAAAGACGGUUUUGCUGUCACUUAUAGAUGGAUCCGCGCCGCAUUAGCUAGUUGGUAAGGUAACGGCUUACCAAGGCAACGAUGCGUAGCCGUCCUGAGAGGUUUGUUCGCCACACUCGAACUGGGACACGGUCCAGACGCCUGCGGGAGGCCUCAGUAGGGAGUCUCCCGCAGUGGGCGAAAGCUUGACGGAGCAACGCCGCUUGAGUGAUGAAGGUCUUCUGAUCGUAAAACUCUGUUAUUAGGGAAGAACAAAUGUGUAACUAACUAUGCACUUCUUGACGGUACCUAAUCAGAAAGCCUCGGCUAACUACGUG